UUGUGUUUGUUGUAGUUACUGGCUGUUUCCUAAGCCAUCCACGUUGCUUAGUGCGUUGUCAGUAUGCAAGUAUGAAGUCAGAGUUGAGAUUUCCUCUGGCAUUUGCUUGCCUCUCUCCUUGUAUCUCACAAUUCUCUUUCAUUAAGCCAUUGUUAAGCCAGCAAGUAAGUUCAAACUUUGAAAGCUAAGCUUUUUUGAUCUCUGGAAGAGUCCUCAUGCAGCUGAAUAUCUUACCCACCAAGCUCCUCAAAAUCUCAGGUUUUAUUCCCCACUUGGGUAAAAAAAAAUUAGGAAAUCAUCAAUAAAAAUCAUUUAGUGAAAUUACUGUGAAUGAUUCAUGACAGAUCUCCCAAUUCCAGCUUGAUAUGUCAAUUACCAUAUUCCUGAUGGCAUUUUUUAGUUUCUCUUGACUUAGUUACAUAGACAAAAUAAAUGUUAAUUCAGACAAAGUAAAGAAUCAGGCAGAAUUUCAAUGGGAAAGGAGAAGAUUCAAAAGUGCCAUGACUGCUUUCUUCCAAUGUGCAGGUCAAAUAUUAAUGCGGACCUGCAAAGGCUCCUGUUACUAACACAAAGAGAGGCAGGUGAGAUAUCAAGGCUGACUUGAUUCAUUACAAAGAAGAGUUCUUAGCUCAGAGUGGUAAAAUACAGCUGACAUCCCAGCACCUAGGAGAUGGAAUCUUGCUAAUAUCUGUGAUGGUGUAGUGUUUUAUCAGAGCCGAAGUCUUGGUAUGUGGCCCAGACUAACAUCAAAUUCACUGUAUAGCCUAAUGUGACCUCAGAUUGGCAGCAACCUUCCUUUCGGCUUCCUGAGCACUGGAAUUACAAGAUGAAAUAGGACCAACUUCCUCACAUUCCUCCCUUCACAGAUUCCUCAUCAUAAUGGACUGCUCCCUCAGACUGUGAGGAAGGAGAGACAUAACCCUUUGGAAGUGAGUUGGGAGCCUAGCUGUGAUUAGACCCAAGAUAUGAUCAGUGUCCUGCUCAGCCAUCACCAGAGAACCUUCCCACCUCGGCAAAUGGGAACAAACACAGAGACCCACAGUCAGACAUCAUGCGGAGAGCGAGAGACGUUGGAAUACUCAGUACAGAACUGGAUAUCCUCGUCCAAUCCCUCCCCUAAGGGCUCAGAGAAGCCCAUGGAAGACGAGGCAGAGAGAAUGUAACAGCCAGAGGGGAUGAAGAACCCAAGGAAACAAGGCCAUCUGAACCAUCAAGACAGAUGCACACAUGAACUCACAGAGACUGAGGUAGCAUGCACCGAGCCUUCAAAGUGGGCAUGUGAUAGGGUUCAGGUGCUGAAAGGAGAAAUGGAUACAUGUCCCCAUCCCUAACCUAGAAGCUAUCUCCCACUGAUAACCACUUUCAAAUAAAAGUUUUUUUUUUCCAAAGGAGUCUCACUGGAGAAACAAACUACUCUUAAGGGGAGGGGCAUGACCAGCUGCAGACGCCAACAGUCGGUGAACUCACAGGCAUUGGUGGAGGUCCCUGUCUCAGUGUCACGUCAGGGCCUUUUCUUCUCUUUUAUUAGUUUUAAACUUUACCUUUUUUAUUCUUUAUAUUUAUAAUAAAGGAUCUACAGGUCCUUUGCAUAUACAUUACAGGAUCUGGUUUUACGUUUUUAUGGAAAGUUUGAGCAGACAAAUGAGUGGCUCUUAUGUCUUUUCUUGGGCUCUUUUCCUUCUGUUUGUAUUCUCCUAUUCUGAUUUGUUUCUAUUUUAUCAUAUUAUAUUAUAUCGUUUCAUAUAAUAUUCCCUUAUACACAGGGAAACAGAAAGAAAGUGGAUCAGGAUGGGAAGGAAUGUGGGCAGGAACAGGGCAGAGUAGGAGGAAAGAAACUGUAAUGAAGGUAUGUUGUAUGAAAACAAUCCAUUCUCAAUAAAAGGAAAAAAUCACAAA
rnacentral:sRNA from 1 species